GGGGCCGGUGAGGGCCACCAGAAGACACUGGAGCCGGUGAGGGCCACCAGAAGAUACUGGGGCUGGUGAGGCCCACUAGAAGACACUGGGGUAGGUGAGGGCCACCAGAAGAUACUGGGGCUGGUGAGGGCCACCAGAAGACACUGGGGUUGGUGAGGGCCACUAGAAGACACUGGGGUAGGUGAGGGUCACUGCAAGACACUUGGGCUGGUGAGGGUCACCACAAGAUAUUGGGGCCAAUUAAGGGUCACUGUAAAACAAUGGGGCCGCGGGCCGGCAAGGGUCACUGCAAAACACAGAGGUCAGUAAGGGUCACUUCAAGAAAUUAGGGCCAAUUAAGGAUCACCGCAAAACAGUAGGGCUGGCAAGUGGCUGGUGAGGCUUGUGAGGGUAAAAACACUGGGGCUGAUGUGUGUCACCACAAGACAUUGGAGCCAAGAAAGGAUCACUGCAAAACAGUGGGGCCAGCAAGGAUCACUGCAAAACACUGGAGACACUGAGGCAGUUGAAGGUCACCUGGAUGACACUGGGUCCGGUGAGGAUAACCACAAGAUAAUGGGGCCAAGUUAGGGUCACUGCAAGACAUUUGUGCUGGUGAAGGUCACCGCAAGUCAGUGGGGUCAGUGAGGGUCACCUGUAAGACACUGGGGCAACUGAGGGUCACUGCAAAGACAAUGGGGCCAUUGAGGAUCAUCACACAACACAGCACUCGUGCCAGUGAGGGUCACCACUCACCACAAAGACAUUGAUUCCGGUGGGGGUCACUGAAAGACAAUUGGGCAUGUUAAGGGCACUGGAGAUGGUGAGAGAAGACGGCAAGUUUGAUUAUGAAGACACAGACGUGACAGAUGCUGAUGUUGCACUCACAAAUAAAGCUUCAAUUAGUUAGUGACUCUCUUUUUUUUUCUUGAUUAAGUCUCAACACAGUCUUUAGUUUUUGGUUGUCCGGACAAGUUGCAUGUAUAAAAUGUUCAUUUAAGCAGAAACCAAAAUUCUGCACUUAAAAGUUAAGCUAUUUAAAUGUACUACAAUAUAAACAGGUAUUUUUCUAAUUACAAAACGCAUAUUAGAAAUUUUGAAUAUCUAAAAUGUUCUUUUAAUUAAAUCACAUGUAUUGUUAUUAUAGACCCUAUUUGGAAAUGUUAGUAUGGCGGUAUAGAAUAAACAUAAUAGUUUCUUCCUAUCAUGAGCUCGUGCUAUUAAAUAUCCCUGUCUACCAUGUAACUAACACAAGUAAUCGCCUUUAGAGUAGUAAUAGAGAAGAUCUGAAUGAACAGAUGGUCUCUUGAUUAAGUUUGAUUCUGACGCAUGCAGGAAGCGUUUUUCAGUCACCAGUGCUGAAGUAGUGCACGAAGAGGAGGGACGCGUUUUCCUGAAGAAAUACAGGCCUUGCAAAUGAUAAAGAUGAUAACAAAGGAUGAUGCAACUGAACCUCAGAGACUCUUUUGCAUUUAAUGGCUCGCAGAUUACAGAACAUUAAGUGAAGUGUCAUACUAAAUUCAGGAAAAUGCAAGCAUGUCUUGCAAAAGAGAAACCUGUGUGGAACUUAUCUACAGGAAUAAAGUAAAGUGGAAACCAGUGGCUCUUCUGCUUGUGUGUGUGUGGCUCCUGUGCUCACAGUCAGUGUCCAGCAGCAACCAAAGCUCUCGAGGCCAA